rnacentral:rRNA from 1 species
GCCAGACUCCUACGGGAGGCAGCAGUGGGGGAUAUUGCACAAUGGGGGAAACCCUGAUGCAGCGACGCCGCGUGGGCGAAGAAGUAUUUCGGUAUGUAAAGCCCUCUCAGCAGGGAAGAAGAAAUGACGGUACCUGACUAAGAAGCCCCGGCUAACUACGUGCCAGCAGCCGCGGUAAUACGUAGGGGGCAAGCGUUAUCCGGAUUUACUGGGUGUAAAGGGGGCGCAGACGGCGAUGCAAGCCAGGAGUGAAAGCCCGGGGCCCAACCCCGGGACUGCUCUUGGAACUGCGCGGCUGGAGUGCAGGAGGGGCAGGCGGAAUUCCUGGUGUAGCGGUGAAAUGCGUAGAUAUCAGGAGGAACACCGGUGGCGAAGGCGGCCUGCUGGACUGCAACUGACGUUGAGGCCCGAAAGCGUGGGGAGCAAACAGGAUUAGAUCCCCUCGUA